AUCUGUAUGCAAAACAGUGUGUUCUGAAGAGAGCACUUUGGAAGAAGUGUUGCAAGAAAACAACUCAAGCAGGUGUGCGCAUUACACAAAAUUGUUCAGUAAAUAGCCAGAGCUGCAGUAAAUCACACUCCAUUUUUUGCCAGGGAUCAAUCCCAAGGCCUUGCUCAUGUGGGCAAGCCCUCUACCACUGAGCUACACUCCCAGCCCUACAGGACACUGGAAAAAAAAAACAGCAGUACAAUAGUUUAAUUUUGAAAUAAGCCCAAGAGGGUAUAGAGAAGAGUAAGGACCUUGCUUCUACAGAGUGACCUUCAGCACCCUACUUCUCAAAGUGGAAUCACUAAAAUGUCUAAUGAAGUUACUGAUUUGAGAUUAGUUCACAGGAGUCUUAGCAACCAUGCUUUCAGAUGGAGGAAAAAAGGUAACAAACAGUACUGCUGAGACCAUUCGACAAGAGAAUAGCUGAUAUGCCACUCCUCCCUGCUGGCCAUGCCAGGAUUUAUGACAUAUAUCCCAAAUGCCCAAGAUUGCACUGUUCUCAUGUACCUGAAUAACAAAAACAUGCCAAGUGUGCAGCCUGGUCACAGAGUUUCAGACACACUUCAAUUAGUUGAAAAACUGAAAAGAGCACUUUACAAAUUUAAUCUAUACUUGCUAUAGAUUAAAACUCUUCCAGAGACACCAAUUUAUGAUGAGAGGCAAGGUCAAAUGUUUACUGAAAGUGUGGCAAACUAUAGCUGUGGGGCCAGACCCACCCUGUUGCCUGUUCUGGUAAAUAAAUUUUAUUGGAACAGCCACACUUGCUGGUUUACAUUUUUUAUAGCUGCUUUUGCCCUGCAGAGUUGAAUAAUGUGACAUCCUACGGCCCACAAAGCUGAAAGCAUUCCUACCUGGUCAUUUAAAGUUUUCCAACUCCUUGCCUAUUGCUUGGUUUGUUGAAACUGACCUUUUCACACUUCUAAGAGCAGCAGGUUAGAUCAAUAAUGGUAUUUAGAGUACAUGUUGCCUUUUAGAAUUGAAAGGUGAUGAUAGGGAGGUAAAUUCCAAGUGAAACAAAUUUAAAUGAGAUUUGUAAUCUGUAAAGGAAAUUUACCUAGAAAAAGUAAUGCGUCUAUUUUCAGUUAUAGUGGAGCAGAGAAAAGAGUAUUUUCUCAUAUGACUCAACAGUCAUAAUAAAGGAGAUAGACACAGAAAAC
rnacentral:lncRNA from 1 species